rnacentral:tRNA from 1 species
GGGGUUGUGGCUCAGUGGCACAGUGCUCACCUAGUACCUGCGAGGCCCUGGGUUUGAUCCUCAGCACCACA